rnacentral:rRNA from 1 species
UACGUAGGUGGCAAGCGUUGUCCGGAAUUAUUGGGCGUAAAGCGCGCGCAGGCGGUCCCUUAAGUCUGAUGUGAAAGCCCACGGCUCAACCGUGGAGGGUCAUUGGAAACUGGGGGACUUGAGUACAGAAGAGGAAAGCGGAAUUCCAUGUGUAGCGGUGAAAUGCGUAGAUAUCUGGAGGAACACCGGUGGCGAAGGCGGCGUCCUGGACCAACACUGACACUGAGGAGCGAAAGCCAGGGGAGCAAACGGG